GAUGAACGCUGGCGGCAUGCCUUACACAUGCAAGUCGAACGGCAGCACGGGAGCAAUCCUGGUGGCGAGUGGCGAACGGGUGAGUAAUAUAUCGGAACGUGCCCAGUCGUGGGGAUAACGUAGCGAAAGCUACGCUAAUACCGCAUACGAUCUAUGGAUGAAAGCGGGGGAUCGCAAGACCUCGCGCGAUUGGAGCGGCCGAUAUCAGAUUAGGUAGUUGGUGAGGUAAAGGCUCACCAAGCCGACGAUCUGUAGCUGGUCUGAGAGGGCGACCAGCCACACUGGGACUGAGACACGGCCCAGACUCCUACGGGAGGCAGCAGUGGGGAAUUUUUGGACAAUGGGCGCAAGCCUGAUCCAGCAAUGCCGCGUGCAGGAUGAAGGCCUC
rnacentral:rRNA from 1 species